CCCUUAGAGUUUGAUCCUGGCUCAGGACGAACGCUGGCGGCGCGCUUAACACAUGCAAGUCGAGCGACGCACCAGGGGCUUGCCCCUGGUGACGGAGCGGCGAACGGGUGAGUAACACGUGGGUAAUCUGCCCUCGGCAUCGGGAUAGCCCGGGGAAACCCGGAUUAAUACCGGAUGGCCUUCCGAGCUCUCGGGCUUGGAAGAAAAGGUAGCUUCGGCCUCCGGCCGAGGAGGAGCCCGCGGCGGAUUAGCUUGUUGGUGGGGUAACGGCCCACCAAGGCGACGAUCCGUAGCUGGUCUGAGAGGACGAUCAGCCACACUGGGACUGAGACACGGCCCAGACUCCUACGGGAGGCAGCAGUGGGGAAUCUUGCGCAAUGGGCGAAAGCCUGACGCAGCGACGCCGCGUGUGGGAAGAAGGCCUUCGGGUUGUAAACCACUUUCAGGAGGGACGAAGCCACUCGGGUUAAUAGCCCAGAGGGUGACGGUACCUCCAGAAGAAGCCCCGGCUAACUACGUGCCAGCAGCCGCGGUAAUACGUAGGGGGCAAGCGUUGUCCGGAUUUAUUGGGCGUAAAGAGCGUGUAGGCGGCCAGGUAGGUCAGCUGUGAAAACUCGAGGCUCAACCUCGAGACGUCGGUUGAAACCACCUGGCUAGAGUCCGGAAGAGGAGAGUGGAAUUCCUGGUGUAGCGGUGAAAUGCGCAGAUAUCAGGAAGAACACCCGUGGCGAAGCGGCUCUCUGGGACGUACUGACGCUGAGACGCGAAAGCGUGGGGAGCGACAGAUAGAUACCUGGUAGUCCACGCCGUAAACGAUGGG
rnacentral:rRNA from 1 species